rnacentral:lncRNA from 1 species
GCCCGAGUGGCAAGUCCAGAUGUUGCAGGGACACGCAGGGUGACAAGAAGGAUGAUGCAAGCCGCCCAGAUGGAGCAAGGAGGAUCCUCGCACCAUCAUGUUGAAGAGGGCGAUGAAGCGAUGUCAGUGGAUGCUUCAGACUCCAUGGGUCUACCUCCACAACGCACUCCACGCCCAAGGGACAGGGCUAGGCGUCACCAGCCCACAGGUAUGGACAGUCUCAUUAAUGACAUGGGCGAAUUGCAGAUUGGGCAAGAAGCAACAUUGCAACUGGCGUUACAAAACGGCCAACAUAUCCGACGUGUGCGAGAGGAAGACGCACAACGCUGGGCUGGAUGGUACCAAAAUUUCCCGCCACCACAGUGAGCGAAGAUCUAGCUUGGGGGAGAUCCUCUCCCCCACUAAGGUAAGUAUUCUAUCCUAUUUAUUUUCAUGCAUUUUAUCAUUCUUACUUAAAAAAAAUAUAAAUAUUUAUUAGCAUUUCCCUUUAGCAUAUAUGCUUCAUGUAUGUUUAUAUCCCUCAUGGAAAUUAUGACUAGUUGCUUGUUAAUGUUUCUCUAGUGCCUAGUAUACAACUUAGUAUUUCUCUAAGUAUGGAUCACUUAGCUCACUUAAACUGCCAUGAACCUAAAAACUUUGUGGGUUGCAAGUGCUAGAACUAAGUCUAAGUUGUUGUGGGACAUGAGAUAGUAAGACAAGAGCUACUAUAAUAUUUUUCUAAGCAUGCAUGAUUAUCAGAGAUUUAUUCUUAAAAUGAUCAAAAUCUUAAUUGUUCCUCAAUGGUGAUGAAUUCCUACCACAGCCAUAUCUACUUUACAUAAUUGCAACCUUUUCACAUAAGCUAUUUGCUUUGUGUUGAGUGUCGUCCAGUCUUGUUGACCCUUGUUAAGAGACUUUUCAUGCUCCUAAGAUCAAGAUCACGUACACACCACAUAUAUAUAUGCUGCUUCUACACUGGAAGUACGCAACCACAUGUAUUUCGCAUCCACUAAAUAGGUUGCUCCAUACUCUAAAUGUUAGAACAUCUCUCUAAGCAUUAUUUGGUAAAUGAGACAUCAAAAGGCUAGGCAAAAUGAAAUAAAAAGAUGGACAUGUGCAAGUCCACAGAAAAAGAAAAUUGAGCACAUGAAAGCUCAUAUAUAAAAAAAAAGAGAAGAAAAAAAAAUGCUAGCCAUGUCUCAAUACAUAGAGAGUCUAUCAAAUAAAGGAGCAACCUAGUCCACCAUAUAUCACACUUGCACAUCUUGAUCUGGGAGUAUGACACUUCUUUUCAAGGAUCCGAGCUUUGACUUCGCAAUACAUGCAAAGUAAGUAUGCUAUCUCCUUUCAUCCCUACCUUGAACUCCACAUAAGCCUUUUAGAAAUAGGAUGAAAUAGAGAAGGCAACUCUUACCAUAUGCCUUGGUGAGGAAUCAUACACCAUUUGAGUGACAUGAGAGAACCAUAAGAGGAACAUUUAAGCUUUCUUUUGAAAAUAUCACAAAACCUCUGAUAUGAAACUUGCUAAGAAUGAGAAAGUUAGUGCUCAAGUCAAACUGUUCUGUCUCUCAACCACCUAAGACAAAGGAAAAUCCAUAAGCCCCAUAAGGGACUAAGGUAAUAGGGGUAAGUUUACAUAGCUAAAUUUUUCAUGCAAAGAGAAGAACUUUGUUGUACACAUGGUACUCUUGAAAUGUGAACAUAGUAACAAUACCUGAUCCACCGAGGCUAAGUUUGAUUGUUUGCUCGGGACGAGCAAAGGUUAAGCUUGGGGGAUCUUGUUGACGGUGGAUAUACCAUAGAAAUCCACAUACAAAACACCGUCAACAUGCCUCGGUUGCAAGGGGAAAUGACAUGACAUGAACAUAUUUUAUCCAUAACUAGUUCCACUUGUACUCUUAGCUUGUUUAUGCAGGAACAACAAAUUCAAGACAUUAUUUGACAAAGCCAACAUCAGAAUCAUCAAGAGGAGAUCGAGGGGACAACAGGUGACACCCUGGGCCCACAGGGAGGGGGUCGCCCGACCCCUCUUUGGUGGGACCCAGGUGUGCCACCUAGUCCACCGACAUAAGGGACCCCUGUGGACACUGCUGGUGGGCCCAGAGGCCCAGAAGUGGGGUCGCCCGACCCCACAUCAAAGGCGGUUCCAGGGUCGGUGGCCUCCCACCGACCUUCCCCACAUGUCCCACAUGUUGAUUUGCCCCUGCCGUUGAUCAAAUGGCGGUUGUGAGGUCGGUUUGAUCCAAGGGUGGAGAGAAGAUGUCACGCGGAUCGAUGACGUGGCGAUGGAGUAACCCCUACUCCAUCUCCCUCUAUAAAAGGCAGCCUCCAUCCUUCAUUUCAAGUGUGCAAUUCCAAGGCCAAGUGCAUCACAAGUUCCAAGCAUACAAGUAGAGUAGUAGUUAGUCUAGAGUGGGAGUUAGAGUCGAGUCGAGCGAAGCUCGGGGUCUCCGGAGUCGUCUUCUGGAGAGUCUGGUAUAGCUCUUGUACCUUUCUACUUUUGUAAGACUUUCCUUUUAUUAAUAUAUUAUUCUUACUUUACUUUACUGAGUUCUUACUUAGUGCAAGUCUUUUAGUCUUGUUGUGCAUUUACUUUAGUAAUAUAGUUGUCUUAGUGAAGUUAGUGACCUGUAACCACUCCUGUGUGUGCAUCAUCGUCCUAUCUUGUAUAGGAGCUCUAGCUAGCUGCAACUAGUUAGAGUUGUAGGAUUAAGUGUGAGCGUGGUGCUCAUACUUAAGAUUACCUUUGAUUACCGCUGGCUUGAACGGAAAGUAGGAGCGCACUCCCUAGUAGGUGACAGAUCGUGGGCGGCAUUAGGUUCUCCUCACGUACAGGCUAGUUCUUAAAAGGUAAGGCGUCCAUAAGCCCAAUAGUCGCUUUCGGUAAGGGGUUAGGUGAAAAACCUUCUAAGCGUCUUACCAGCUCGGCUAUCCCUCGCACACAGUUAGUAAGGCUCUAGCGUAGUUAAGGCAAUUAUCUAUUAAAGUAAGUCACAGAAGUCAAGUUAGAUACAUAGGAGUCCUUUACUCACUCGUUGUCCUCCCACCUAGCUAACUCUACCAUUUACCUUUAGCAUAGGACCUUGGAUUCACCACUACCCUUCCUAUUCGUUAUUUACCACCCUUAUUCACUAGUUGAUACUAGAUAACUCAAGGAAUCUCAUUCCCCUUUUUGUUAAACACACUUAGCCGCUUUCCCUUGGGAAAAUAUAAAUUACGAUACCUUGGAAUACUCCUUGGUGAAGUGCUACAGCGGUACAUUCUGUGCGCUUGCGGAAUUAUCCAAUAGUAAAUAGAGUUACCCUAUCAGGGCACUUCUGGCGCCGUCGCCGAUAUCCGGUGGUUGCGUUAAGAAGUGUCAACAACCUCCCAAGAGAUCGAGAGAUCGCUUAUCGCCGUCCGCAGCCGACGGUUCAAAGCGACCUCCCCCUCGAGCUGAGCCUUGGCGGAGCGGGCCUCGACUUGAGCGGCAAGCAGCUCGUCUUUAAGCCCUACAAGGACCGACAUGGAGAAAUUAGAUAACACAAAGCGCACCUCGAAAAGGAGACUCAACGAUAGAAACCUACCGCGAAUACUUUCCUCCAGAGCCGUAUUCUCGCCGACCAACUUGGUGUUGGCUCUCUCGAUCUCCUUGCUGGAGCGCACCAGCUCGGUGUUGGUGACGCGCAGGUCCUCGAUCACCUUACCGGCCUGCGUGAUGGCUCCUUCCUUCUCCAGCAGCGCCCUCUUCAGACGAUCGAUGUCGUCAGAGAGGCUACGAGAUCGAGCCCGCUCCACCUCGAGAUCAUCGAGAUCCUUCUUUUUGGCCUCCUCCGCGGCGCUCCUGGUGAUCUCACCAUUCACACACUCCACCUUCAUCCUCUGGAAGGACUCUUGGAUGGAGGCCAGGUCAGUCUUGAGGAGGCCCUUCUCCUUGUCCAGGUUAGCGACGGCGUUCUUGUAAGACAAGGCCUCCUCCUGGGCCUUGGACGCGGCUUCCUCGACCAUCAUGGCCUGCUCCCUCAACAGCGUAGCCUCCUCCACCGCCUUCCUCGAGGCCUCCCGAGCUUCCGACAAAGCGGCCUCCCUCUCCUUCUUCUCCUCCUCGAGCACCAGCAGCUCCUUAUAGGCCUUGAGGAGCUUCUCCUGCGAUUCCAGGAGUUGAUCCUUGAGGAGAGGGAGUUGCUCCCAGCCACCCCUUGUUGCGUGGAUAAAGCUCGAUUUGAUGUGGGAAGUCUCUUUCAAGUCCUGCGAGCCAGCGAUUGGGUAGUUAGAACACAAAACCAAACAUCCUAUAAGGAUUAAGGCCCGAAAAACACUUACAAAGUAGGCCGGUCCGAGCCCAUUGUUAACAACGUCAAACAGGAGCCCCACCACAUGCUUCAUCUAGAGGCGAAGCACCUCGACGUGCUCCCACUUUUCGACCUCCUUCCGGUCCUCUAGGAAAAUGUUAGGUUCGGACGGAUCGGUGGAGGCCCGGAUGCGGAUCCGGUCGGGGCACCAGUUCUCCAUCUCCAGGUCGGCGCGCGCCUUGACUUCUCAGAUGAGCUCCUCGACUGUCUCGAGCGACCCGCCGUGGCACAGGAAUAGGUCGACGAGGGAGGGGAACCGCCCGUCGUCAUCCACCGUCUUCCAGGUCCCAGUCUCGCUACCACCACCACCGCCUGAUUUUCUGGCCUCGUCCUCCUCAGCAGGAAUGCGGUCCUCCCACGACCGACGCUCUCGAAGGAAUCCCGUCCAUGCCGUAGAUCGUACCCUUGAUCACGGACUGAGGGUCGACCGGGGUGCGCAUCAUACAGGCGAGCGCCACCACGCCGUCCUCCCGCCCCGACUCUGCUGAGAUCGAAGCGGGUGCCCCUGGACGGAGCCACGCCGGGGUCGGAGGACCAUAAACUGGCAGACUAUCCUCCCUGUUUCCAGGCUCUUGCGGCGCUGGUGGCACUGGUUGGGGCGGACUGUGAGAGGGAGACUCGAGCAGUUCCUCUAACUGCUGGCCCCUCUACUGCUGCUGCUCCUAGAGCUCCUGCAGCUCCUGUUGACGGUCCUGCUCCAGCAGCUCCUCAAGCUUGGUACCUGCUGGCGGCUGCCCCUCCUCUCCCUCUUUCUGCUGCAGCCGCCGCUCCUCCUGCGGCUGUUGCCGCGUCUCUUGCUCGCGCUCCUCUUCCUCCUUCUUCCUCCGCUCUUCGACGGAGCGAAGGCCGGCAGGCCAGGGCGUCCGCUUCGCGACGGGGGAGGUCUCGACCUCCUCGUCCAUAGGACGGGCGUCCUUCGAAGACCCAUCGCUGCCGGACCCAUCACUUAUAGUGAUAGGAUCCCCCUCGACCCCAGAUCAGGGAGGCUUGGGGGCUCCCUCCUGCUCUUGGGGGUGAGGUGCCGCGACCCGCUUCGGCGAUGGUGGGACGGACUCACCCACUAGGGGACGGGGCGGGGCGCUCUCGGCACCAUUCGGCGGUCGAGGGUCGGAGGAGCCUAUAAAACACACAAAAGCAGAGGUCAGACGUCACGAUGAUUGACGUAAGAACAACAAAACUCCCAUAUUGACGGGAAUGAGCCGCUAACGUGAAUAUUUGGAGGCCGCUCCCAAUUUAAGCCUUUUGGCCAUCGAGGGUUGGGCCUGCUCGAGCGUCCGCUUCAACCUGAAGAGAGAAGAAUGGGCAUGAGAGUGGCCGUUACACGAGAAAACGCAAAGACAUAGGAAGAUGAGAGUCGUAGCGUCGACGACCUUACCCCACAGGGAGAACGGCCCGCCUACCGGUACCUCGACCGGCAGGCCUCGAACCGCCCCGUGUCGAGGCUCUAGGCCCCUCACGAACGGGCGCAGGCCUCGGCUCGGCAUCUCCCGCCUGGCGAGCGCCAGGGCUAGCGCUCCUGUGGCUUGUUUCCCCCUUGCCGGAGGCCGCGGCACGGAGACGGGUCAACGGCCCCGUCGCCUGGGGCUUAGCCCGGUCGCCCGCCUUUGGCGCAGGGGGAGGUUGGGGGCGCGGGACGGACCGACUUUGCGAAGGCACGGGAGGGGUAUCAGCACGAGGAUGGCAUGGGGAUGACUCCCUCUGUUGCCUCUCCAGAGACCCGCUUCGCUCCCCCUUUGGGGCUCCCGUCCGUGGGGCGUCGACGUCGGUCCGAGGCGGACCCUCGAGGAUCCUGUCAAGACGGGACGCCAUCCCCUCGGAGUCGUCGCUGUCGUCAUCAUCAUCGUCGCCGUCGUCCUCAUUAGGGGACUCUUCCUCAGGCUCCCCCCUCUUUCUAGACUUCGAUCGACGUGUCUCCAGCGCUUGGCGCUCGAGAUUCUUCUUCUUCUCAUUCUUCUUUUUUAAGUCCAUUGCGGACUUCUGCUUUUCCGCGGACUCUCACCGCUUAUCACGAUCGACCUCGUCCUCCUUACCGGGGGCUUGGAAGAUCGAACAUCGAUUGAACCCUGCACAAGUGGAGACAGGUUUUAAGAAGGAUCGAAGAAAAUCCGGAAUCGAAACCAUAAGCGAGGGAAAAACUUACCAGGUCGAUCGACCCCUUGUUAGGCCUUGUUGACACCAUUUUUGGGCACGUGUCCAUGAUCGGUAGAGUGUAGGUCGGCAAGACAAGACGGCAGUGCUUGAUCUACAGGAUGAGUUGCCGAUGAGGAUGGUUGCCGAUGGAGGGAUGGCUGAACAUGACCAAGUCCAUAGGUGAUGAUGUGUUUAUGCCGAUGGCUACAACAAGGGAGUCUGCCGAUGAUACGGAGGAUGCACCUGGAAAUUGCCGAUCGGUUUGUGGAGGUGUUCCAGUUUGUCACGGGAGGAUAGUUUUAUGUUUUCCUUAGUUAUUUAGAUCGUUUUAUAUACGGAUUCUGUUUAAUUUGGAAUUCAAGUUCUAGUCGUGUCUGGUUGUAGCUCUUUGAACAGGGUAUAAAUGUAGACCCUAGGGCCUUGUAAUCUAUCUAUCUAUCAAUCUAUCAAACACAAGUUUUUACUCAUAUUCCAGCAUCUACUUUUUCAACGACUUCGUUAUAUUUUCCUUUUUACUAUGAGUUCUUAGGAAUUCGUCGACUUAAGCUCGGCGUAUUCUCGAGUUCCGCAUGAGUACCUCUUGGUCAUGACAUCCGGGCGCAUCGCUGUUGUCAGGACCAAAGUGUUCGAGUUACCACCUUUGCCGAUAGUAAGGUCAAAUCGGCUAGCAUGCCUUAACGUUUGAAUCGGGUAUUAGCCCUUUGUGUUUGCAGAUCCGCUUUUGCAUCAACACAUCUUUUGGCACGCCUGGUGGGACAGAUUCAAGAUCAAGAUCAACAUGUCGACUACUGAGUUUGAACAGGAGAACGUCAUCCCCGUGACGGAAGCCAAUCUCAAGGAUGAGCAGAAGCAAGCUAUUGCUAAAGCCAUGGAGGAUUAUAAGCAGCAAUGCCUGAGGUCCUUCAGCAUAAACAGGAGCGGCGAGGUGAUCUAGAAGGAUGCACUGCCGACGCCUCGGCAGGUUACUUUUGAAGCCAAUCCUGGUAAACUUCAAGAGAUGGUUGAUAGUGCUAUCAACCGUGCUUUGAUCAACCAAGCUGGUGUGCUGUCCAAUACGGAUUUCAAUGCCGUGGCUAGAACUUUCAAGGAAGGACAAUUUCCACCAGAUUAUGUGGGCCCCUCUCAUCAUCAGCCAGGGUCACCGGUGGUCACAGCUCCAUCGGCUGCUACAGCCGCUGCGGGAACACAGACUACUUUUCCUCCAAGCACGUUGGGGGUCACUAAUGCACAAUCUACGCCGAUGACAACUAAUCCACCGACUUCAGAUGAGCAGAUUAGGCUCACUACAGAUCUAUUGGCAUCGGCAAUGUCAGGACCAGUCCCUCCUCCUAACUGGUGGGGUUUUGGUAUGCCCCCAGAAUACUUGAAGACACCUGGCACAUCUCAGGCAACUGAUAUGAGAGGCAAGACCCCUAUGGCAUCGGCACCUCCAAAUAUGCCGAUGAACCAGAGUCCCCAGUAUACUACAACUACUACUGCAAGACCCUACACUGGGAAUUCUCAAGCUCCGACAUUCCAGAUGCCUAACGCAUCGGCAGACUCAAUGCUGAUGCAACAGAGGGUUAUGACUCAGCCAGGGUAUGUCAAUUCGAUGAUGAUGCCCAAUUACCAGUCAUCGGCAGGACCUAUGCCGAUGAAUGCUAAUAAUGGAUGGCUUGGGCAGCAAGUCUUCCCGCAAACGCCCCAACAAAGUCAUCAGGCUACAGGGUUCCAUCAAGGCCAGAUCUAUCCCGAGUUCCAGAAUCAGGGAAUGCCCAACCAGCCAAUGAAUCUUGGGCAGCAGGUCGGCGGAUAGCAGAUUGGCGGGCAACAGCUUGGUGGUCCGCAGAUUGGGGGCCAAAUGAUUAACCCAAUGUUUCAUGCAGAUCGUGCGCCGCAUAGACACAUGGAAGCUUACCAGCAGGUGCCGGAUCCGCAACCACCUCAUCGGCAAGAUGCCGAUGCCUAUUGGGCCGAUAAGAUUGCUGAAGUUAUGAGGAAUCAAUUUGGGAUAAAGCCCAAAGUCAAUACUUACUCUUAUCGGACACCGUAUCCUCCCGCAUAUGAUUUGAUCCCACUUCUCAAUCGGUACAAAGUACCGGAUUUUACUAAGUUUUCUGGGCAGGAUGACACGUCAACCAUGGAGCACGUCAACAAGUUCAUCAUCCAAUGCGGGGAAGCUGGUAACAGGGACGAGUUAAGGGUUCGCUUAUUCUCGUCAUCAUUGUCUGGAUCGGCUUUCACCUGGUUUAUAUCAUUACCUCCCAAUUCAGUGAUUACUUGGGCCGAUCUGGAGAAACAAUUCCACAAAUACUUCUUUUCUGGGGUCCAUGAGAAGAAGAUCACCGAUCUGGUCAAAUUGAGGCAGCGCAAUGACGAAUCGGUUGAAUGUUUUGUGCAGAGGAUACGGGAGGUCAAGAACAAAUGCUAUAGCCUGGUUCUGGAUGAUCGGCAGUUAGCCGAUUUGGCUUUCCAGGGUUUGUUGCCACACAUCAGAGAUAAGUAUGCGUCUCAGGAGUUUGAAAGCUUGAGUCAUUUGGUGCAGAGAAUUUCUGAUCAAGAUAUCAAGCCCUUUGAGCCCAAGAGAGCAUGGAACAAAAAGGUAUCGUUUGUUGAUGAGGCGGCAUGCUCGGACUCUGAUGAAGAACCAGUCAUCAGCUUGGCUGAAUGGGUGAAAAACAAGAAGCCGAUGUCUUGUCCUUUUGGGCACAAGGAGCCAAAGAAGUUCGCAUUUGACAUCACUAAGGCCGAUAGGAUAUUUGACUUUCUACUUCAAGAGGGUCAAAUCAAAUAGUCACCCAAUCAUCUGAUCCCGUCGGCUGAGGAAUUGAAAAGGAUGAAAUAUUGUAAGUGGCACAAUGCAACUUCUCACGAUACUAAUGAGUGUAAAGUUUUUAGACAGCAGCUGCAAUCGGCUAUAGAGUCCGGGAGGAUCAAAUUUGACAGCUCCAAAACUCAGAAGCCGAUGAAGAUUAAUCAACAUCCUUUCUCGACAAACAUGCUGGAUGCUAAGGGAAAGGCCAAGGUCUUAACAUCAGAAGCAGCCGAAAGAAGUACAUCGGAGGAUCCUCAACAUCAGGUCACUACUGCCGAUGCGAGAGGAAGGGGCUUGAUCCAGGAAGGAACCAGCUCAGGAAGGCCUCCCCGAUCUGGUAUCGUUAUAACUCACAGAAGACCUCGGGAAACUUGGCAGCAGCGUGAGGAUCGAUAUCGGCACCAGCAGGAAGAUUAUCGUCGGGAAGAAGAAAGACGCCGAUUGGAGUGGAAUCGGCAUAGGGAUCACUGGAAUUGCCCGUUCUUCAUCCAUUGUUGGGAGGAGAAUAUCAAGCUUCCCACUGUCAGAGAUUGUCUUGAGUGCAACGGUUAUGAUCGGUAUGACAGAUCCGAUCGGCGCUAUCACGAUGAUAAUUGGCAAUUUAAUGGGCCGAUUAGGGGAAGAGCGUCCGUUCAUGACAGGCUGGGGGGCAGGCUCAGCAUACACGACAGGCUCGGUGAUCGCGUCGGGUAUUUUCCCAGGAACCAGGAAGAACUUGAAGAAAUGGCUAAUGCUCGGGUUCCCGAUGAGUUCAUAUUUUGUAGGGAUGCCAACACUCAUCAAAUGGAGUCAUGGGAAAAUCGUCGUCCAUCGGUAAGGCAGCAGCAACUUCCUCCUUGGUGUCCAGAAGGGUAGACCAGAACACAGAAGAGAAGACUGCAGCGUGAAAGGCGAGAAGGGUUAAGCAAGGGCGAGAACUCUGGCCAGUCUAGGAAUCAGCAGCAAUCAGAUCCCAAGGGGGAAGGUAAAUCGGUAGAUGUCAACAUGGUCUUUAUGUUGCCGAUGGAGUUCCUUGCGCCAUCCAGUGAUGAUGAGUUAGAGUUUUCCGACCAAAUAGCUCAGUUAGCUCUGGAUCCGAUGACAGCCAUCUUCGAGAACCCUGCUGAUGAUGAAAGGCAACAUCUCAAGGCUUUGUUUGUCAAAGGAAGAGUGGAUGGUCAGCCAAUGACUAAGAUUCUCAUUGAUGGUGGAGCUACUAUUAACAUCAUGCCUUAUGCAGUGUAUCGGAAACAUGGGAAAGGAGAUGAGGAUUUGACCAAGACCGAUAUGAUGUUAAAGGACUUCGAGGGGAACGUGUCUCCAGUCAAGGGAUAUGUGUUGAAUUGACCAUCGGCAGCAAAACCUUGCCGACAACUUUCUUCGUAAUCAGUGGAAAAGGUGCAUAUAAUUUACUGUUAGGGAGAGAUUGGAUUCAUGCCAAUUGUUGCAUCCCAUCUACAAUGCACCAGUGCUAGGUCCAGUGGGUAGGUGACAAGAUUGAAAUUGUCCCAGGGGACUCUUCAUAUGUUAUUGCAUCAGCAGAGGCAGACACCUAUGAAAGGACUAGGUGUAUUUCAGGAGAAGCUUGGGAAAAGGAUUUUCUCAAGGUUGCCGAUUAUGAAAUUCCACCGAUCCAAGCAGUCGGUUCUGAUGAAGGUUUUUAAUGGAUAGAUUCACCGAUGAUGGAAAGUUAGGCUAGGGGUUCACAUCGGCCGUUGAUUUGGUAGAAGUAGAUAUAGGUAGUGGUGAUAAACCUAGACCUACUUUUAUUAGUGCUAAGUUAGAUCCUGAAUGUAAGCAACAGUUAACUGAUCUGUUAAAGGAAUAUAAAGAUUGCUUUGCUUGGGAUUAUACCGAGAUGCCUGGUUUGGACCGAUCAAUUGUUGAGCAUCCAUUACCUAUCAAGUCCGGAUUUCGGCCACAUCAACAGCCGGCUCGCCGAUGUAAUCCUAAUAUUCUUCCUGAUAUUAAGGCCGAGAUAACCAAACUUAUUGAAGCCAAAUUUAUUCGGCAGUGUCGGUAUGCCGAGUGGAUUUCCAAUGUUGUUCCGGUCUAUAAGAAAAAUGGGAAGCUUCGGGUCUGCAUUGAUUUCAGGAAUCUUAAUAAAGCUACGCCGAUGGAUGGCUACCCAAUGCCAGUUGCCGAUCUGUUGGUUGAUGCUGCGGCUGGCCAUCGGAUUAUCAGCUUUAUGGAUGGCAAUGCAGGAUAUAAUCAAAUAUUCAUGGCUGAAGAAGAUAUUCCAAAGACCGCGUUUAGAUGUCCUGGUCAUGUUGGAUUGUUUGAAUGGAUAGUCAUGACCUUUGGCUUGAAAAAUGCUGGUGGUACCUAUCAGAGGGCUAUGAAUUUUAUAUUUCAUGAGUUCAUCGGCAAGCUGGUGGAAAUUUAUAUUGAUGAUGUGGUGGUUAAGUCUGGAGACUUCACAAAGCAUCUUGCCGAUCUACGAAAGGUGUUGGAAUGCACAAGGAAACAUGGUUUGAAAAUGAAUCCCAAUAAAUGUGCAUUUGGUGUAUCGGCAGGACAGUUUCUUGGUUUCAUGGUACAUCAAAGGGGGAUUGAAAUUAGUCGAAGAUCUAUUGAUGCCAUCAAUAAAAUAGUGGCCCCUACCAACAAGACCGAGCUCCAGUCCUUGAUCGGCAAGGUAAAUUUUAUGAGAAGGUUUAUAUCUAAUUUGUCUGGUAAAAUUCGUGCUUUCAGUCCUCUUCUUAAGUUAAAGGCCGAUCAAGAGUUUGUUUGGGGGGGGGAACAACAGUUGGCUCUGGAUGAAAUCAAGAACUAUUUAGUGAAUCCUCCUGUUCUAGUUCCACCUCAGCAAGGGAAGCCCUUCAGAUUGUAUUUGUCUACCGAUGGGAUGGUCAUCGGUUCGGCUUUAAUUCAAGAAUUUGAAGGGAAAGAACGUGUGAUUUAUUAUUUAAGCAGGAGGUUGAUUGAUGCUGAGACUAGGUAUUCGGCUAUUGGGAAACUAUGCUUGUGCUUGUAUUUCUCCUGUAUCAAGUUAAGGCACUAUUUGCUAUCGGCCGAGUGCACUGUUAUUUGCAAGGAUGAUGUAGUCCGGUAUAUGCUGUCUAUGCCGAUUAUGAGUGGCAGGAUUGGUAAAUGGAUUUUGGCUCUGUCGGAGUUCGAUCUGCGUUACGAAUCAGCUAAGGCAGUUAAGGGACAGAUUAUGGCUGAUUUUGUAGCUCAACAUUGCGGCGCAGUGGAAGCUUUGGAAAUUGUACCUUGGACGCUCUUCUUUGAUGGAUCCACAUGUGACCGGGGGGCAGGAAUCGGCAUAGUGUUAAUUUCCCCUCGGGGAAGGAAAUAUAAGUUUUCCUUGCCGAUUUUUGCCACGUCGACAAAUAAUCAGGCUGAGUAUCAAGCUUUAAUAAAGGGAUUGGAAUUACUAAGAGCAGUUCAUGCUGAUGCUGUUGAGGUCUUCGGAGAUUCUAUGCUAGUUAUAAAUCAAUUGGCUGGAAGCUAUGAAUGCCGAAGUGAAGUCCUCAUAACUUAUUACGAAAGGAGUAUGCAACUGUUAAAGGGAUUCAAGGAUUUCCGAUUAGAGCAUGUCCCUCGAUUGUAUAAUGAAGAGGCCAAUCGGUUGGCGCAGCAUGCCUUGGGAUAUCAGCCUAUGAUUAAUGCAAUAUCGGCAAUUGGUGCUGAUGAUUGGAGAAAAGAGAUCGUUGAUUAUUUGAAUGAUCCAUCUAAGAGAGUUGAAAGACGAGUCCGGUUUCAAGCCAUCAAGUAUGUGCUCCUCGAAGAUGAAUUGUAUUAUCGAACUAUUGAUGGGAUUCUUCUCCGAUGCUUAGGUGAUGAUGAAGCUAAGAGUUUGAUGGGAGAAAUUCAUGAAGGGGUAUGUGGAGCACAUCAGUCGGCUUUUAAGAUGAAGUGGAUGAUUAGGAGGAAUGGGUAUUAUUGGCCGACCAUACUUGAAGACUGUUUUAAAUAUUUCAAGGGAUGUCAAGGAUGUCAGAAAUUUGGCAACAUCCAGAGAGCACCCGCAUCGGCCAUGAAUCCUAAUAUCAAGCCUUGGCCGUUCCGGGGAUGGGCUAUUGACUUAAUCGGUCAGAUUUAUCCGUCAUCUAGCAAAGGGCAUAAGUUUAUCUUGGUUGCCACCGAUUAUUUCACCAAAUGGGUUGAGGCUAUUCCUUUGAAGAAAGUUACAUCGGCCAAUAUGAUUGAUUUUGUAAAAGAGCACAUCAUUUACCGAUUUGGAAUUCCUCACACGAUUACCACCGAUCAGGGCACUAUGUUCACUUCAGGGGAGUUUGAUGAAUUUGCAAUCGGUAUGGGAAUUAAAGUAUUAAAUUCUUGUCCCUAUUAUGCUCAAGCUAAUGGGCAGGCCGAGGCAUCUAACAAAGGGAUUAUCAUGCUUAUUAAGCGAAAGAUUGAAGAAAAUCCUAGGAGGUGGCAUACAUUGUUAAGCGAAGCUCUAUGGUCAUAUCGGAUGGCUUGUCAUGGGUCGACCAAGGUUUCACCUUAUCAAUUGUUGUAUGGGCAUGAUGCAGUGCUACCUUGGGAAAUUAAGGCUGGGUCUAGGGGAAUAUCUUUCCUAGAUCAAUUGGCUGCCGAUGAUUAUGCUACUUUGAUGACAGACGAGUUGGAUGAUCUAGCAGGACAUCGGCUGAAGGCCUUGAUGAGUAUAGAAGAGAAUAAAAAGAGGGUUGCCAGAUGGUAUGAUAAAAAGGUAAAAGUUAAGGAGUUUGCCGAUGGAGACUUAGUGUGGAAGUUAAUCUUGCCGAUCAGGACUAAAAGUUCAAAAUUUAGGAAGUGGUCUUCCAAUUGAGAGGGUCCCUAUCGGAUAGGUCGAUCGGCUCCUGGUAAUGCCUAUAUUUUGGAAACUCUCGAAGGAGUUGAAUUUCCCAGAGCAUUAAAUGGCAAAUAUCUAAAGAAAUACUACCCCAGUAUAUGGGUCGAUGCAUAAAAGUUUAGAUGCCGAUAACAUUCCUAUCGGCUGGAUCAAAAUAUGUCUGGGGCCGGACUUAAUGUUUCAAGAGAUGCCGAUAACAAUCCUAUCAGCUAGACUAAACGUCAGGAAAGCUGAAGAGGAGAGAGGCGAGGAUGUAUUGCCGAUGAAGGGCUCAUGUGUUCAACAGCGCCUGGAUCGUCGAUAUGGCGCGUGGACGAAUCUGGUUGGCUUCCUCUAUCUCCUUCAUGUCGUCAUCGGUAGAACCUUCUACCGGCUUUAACUUCUUCUUCAGCAGCAGUGCCUUGUGACCAUGGACAUUUCGCUCUUGCUCAAGAAGCUUGAUUGUCUCCGGUAGUUGGCUUUCUUCCUGUCGGGCUUGGGACAGGGCAUCCUCUACUUGUUUGAGUUCUGCCAGCAAAAUUUCUCUUCUCGCCGAUAGAUCGGAAAUCUUCUGCUUCAAUGCAUCUCCUAAGGGUUGUAAAAUGCCGAUGUUCUUGUGCUUCUCUUUGGCAAGGAGUUUCACCUUCAUCAUUUCCUCGGAGAGUUGGGCAUGAGCCGCUCUGUCGGCAAGGCGCCGAGCAGCUUUCUGGUACUGCAGCUGACGGCUCUCCAGAUGUGCAGCCUGGAAGAGAAUUUCUUCAGCAUCGGCAGGAAUUUGACCUCUCAAAGUCUUGAAUAAAGCCUUGGCCGGAUCAGAGUCAUCAACUAGUUGGGCCAUGUCUUGAUGGAGGAGAGCCAACAGUUCUUCCAGCUUUGCCUUGAUCUCUGCCGAUGUAAUCCCAACUACCCGGGAGGAACUUGCUUCCUCACCUUCAUCUUCGGAGAUAUCAAUGGCAAAGGAGAACAGGCUGUCGGGAGAGUCCUGUUCCUGAAAAAGAAAACAAAGUGAGUCAUUCCAUGAUCAAGCAUCGGUAAAUAAUACUGAUGGAGAUUAAAUAGCUUACUUGUUUCAAGGCGAUCUCUCGCCUUUGACUGGAAGAUGCUGGUGGAGCUGUAGGCUGAUCGGUUGAGGUUGCCGAUGAGACUAUGUCGGCUGGAAAACAGUAGAGGUAAUUGUAAAACAGAGAAAAUAAGUUCAUUGGCAGUAAUCUCAUAAAAGUAUGUUACCUUGAGGAAGAGCAGUACUUGUCUGGAUGGAAGAGACCACCGAUGCUAUAAUGGAACCUGCUGGAUCGGUAGUUUGUUCAUGCACAUCAGCCGAUAUGUCUUCUGGCUGAGGUACUUCUGGUUGAGGCUCUUCUGGUUGGGGCUCUUCCACUUGUGGUGCUUCUUGCAUCGGAGGGGGGAUGGCACUUGUUGCAUUUGGACUUCUGGGAGGAAGGAGAGGAUUCUACUGGAAGUGGAGAUACUGGAGGAGAAGAAGGCGUUGCUACUCUUUGGCGCUUUGAUUGUGCUCUGGUGUUCUUGGCACCCUUUCUCUUCGGUUGACUGGACUGGGGGGCAUCGGCACUUUUGCUUCUGGUCUUUGCCGAUGCGCCGAUCUGCUGAUAUGGAGAAAAAUUUAUGAAUACAAGUAUAUGUAAAAGUGGAAUCACUAUGAAUGGAAAGAUUUAACAAUCACCUUGAAGGCCUGUGCUAAGGUGGAGGCGGCUAUCGAUGGAGAUGUCUUGGUCCUCUUGGUGGUCACUUUCUUAAGGCGCACACCUCGGUGCAUAAUGGCAGCUAGUGUGGGAGCAUUGUUGCCGAUUGAAGAGAUCGGACCUGAUGGGAACAGGUCAAUCGGCUUGCCGCUCCUACUGACAGAUGGGGGAGUGUAGUCAACCUGCAACAUGACACAAAGGGUGAGUUACCGACGAAGAUAAGAGUAAAAGGACUAGAACAUCGGUUUAGAAGUACUUACAGUGUCAUCGGGGACUUUGUACUGAGGAUCGAUCAUGCCACGAUAUGUAAGGGCCGAUCUGCAGAACAAAUGCUCCUUCCACUCCUCCCACCAUUGCUUGUAUGCCUGAGUAAUAAAGAGGGCUGGAACCCACUCUGACAGAUCUACAUCUAUAUCGGCAUUCGGUGCUAGCUGGGCUACUCGGAUCCACUCGAGGAGGUUAGUGAUGACUUCCCUGGGUUUUAUGACAUCGGCAUAACAGAGUGCAAUCGGCAGCUGGCCGAAAGCUAAUUGACGAGCUAGUGCCGAUGGGUUGUAAAACUCAUAGGUUUGGCUAGAAGUUUUUCCACUGCCAAAGAAGUUUACUGGUAUAGCCCUAGGAGUGAUCAAUGCCAUCAUCACUUCAUGAUCCUUGUUGAGAGCAUCGUUGAAUGGAUGAAAGACCAAAGGGAACAUGGUGUCUGGAUCAUCAUAAGGCAGCCAUGCUCGCUGCACUCUGGUUAGGCCUUCAUACAGGGUUUGGAAGAAUCGGCUGAUUUGGUCUGCAUUGCCUCCUAUGCCGGGCAGGACUAUGGCAGCCUCGCCAAAGUUCAGAGGAGGGCGAGUUGCCGAUUCCUCUUCAUCCAGUUCAUGGUUCUCAGCUAUAUCUCUGGGGAAACGCUGUGCAAAGAGGUCGAAUUCAAGGCGCUUGUGCAUGUGGAGGCUGAGCCACAUAUUGAUAAACCACCAGGGACCCCCCAAGUUGCCGAUGGACUGGCCGAGCAGGAGUUUCUUAGCUACCUGGUGGAGGAGAUGGUAGGCAGCACCAAGCAAGUAUCGGCGGAGGGGAAAUCGGCCACCGUUAGCCAGUCUCGCUGCUGCCGAUAGAUAGACAGAAGUCGGUCCUGCCGAUCGGCCACAGAAUAUGAAUUUGUCCAGCCACAUGUUCAGAAAGGUGGUUUGUUCCUUUAUGUUGACGGGCCCCGUCCUACGGUACUUCUGAAUGUACCCUGACCAGCCGCCGAUGGAGCGAGUUUCCACUUUGGCACUAGGUGUGGUGUCAAAAAAGUGGGUGCUGUCGGUAGAGGAUACAUCUAGGCCGGUGAGCAUGACUACAUCGGCAAGAGUAGGGGAAGCAGGGCCGUGGCCAAAGACAAAAGCAUUUAGUGUAUCUGACUAGGAGUAUGAUGCAGCUAUCAACAGUGAUUCGUUCCUGUGCAUAUCGGCAAUGGACAAUCUGAUGCAUUGGUCCAGUUUUCCCUCACCCCACUGGACUUCGUUUGACUGGCUGACUCUCAAAAACCAAUCCUUCCAUCCUACGGUAGGACUGGGCCAGGAGCGAAAGGUAUCCUUCCACAGAUCUAAAGAAAAAUUCUCGGCUCUGAAAGGGAUCCGAUUUGUUUCUGCGUUAAUCAAAUCUGUGGGAUCUGGGUUCCCUAGUGGACCAAGACACUGAAGAUGUGGUUGAUCGGUAGGGAUGGCUAUUUUGUUGGACAGAUCCUAAUGGUUUUGGGUAUGAAAAGAAGAAUAAAAGAAGAAAAAGAGAGAUGUUCAGUAAAAUAAAUUGCGAAUAGACAUGGAUGUGGUAAAGGUACAAGAAAUAGGAUGAUGAACUGACCUCAGGGACGGUGAAGUUGAUGGCCAUUUCCUCGCGAAGGAGGAGAUUAAAGACUUUGAGAUUGGUGGAGGGAAGCCUUCGCUGGAGUUCUUGGAGCUCUCAAACAGCACCGCCGCCAGAAGAGAAGAGUUGGGGUUGUAGAAUGAUGUGAUGGAGAAGGAGUACCCGAGAAGGAACUAUUUAUAGGACAAAACGGGCAAGGGCAAAUCUAACUUAUCUCUUCGCCAUAUCCGUGAAAUCCGAGGGUACUCAGGUAGAUAUGGUAACUGUUCGCACGGUAAUAGUACAGGCGAUUUGACAGGAAGCGGUCAUUAUCCAGAGAUAUUUUACUGUGCGGGAUCUCCUGGUCGGUCCAUCGGCAGCGCUUUGUAACGGUAAUAUUGCCGAUGGGCGAAUAAAGUGGAGAUAGCCGUUUGGGAGGAUAAGCCACGUUACUGAACUGGACGUCCUGGUCAGUCCAUCGGCAAGUCCCUGUAACGGUAAUAUUGCCGAUGGGCGAUUAAAGUGGAGGUGCCCGUUUGGGAAGUUGAGGAUUUCGAGGAAUCCGCGAAAGAAUCAGAUCAGGGUUAUUCGGAUUAAGGCUGUCGGUUACCAAAUUGGGAGAAUUAAUUAUGGAAAGGCAUCAUUUACUACGAAGAAUUUCGGAGCAUUAAUGAUUCCAUACUCCAAAAUUGGGGGGCAUGUGUUGACACCGUUUUUGGGCACGUGUCCAUGAUCGAUAGAGUGUAGGUCGGCAAGACAAGACGGCAGUGCUUGAUCUACAGGAUGAGUUGCCGAUGAGGAUGGUUGCCGAUAGAGGGAUGGCUGAACAUGACCAAGUCCAUAGGUGAUGAUGUGUUUGUGCCGAUGGCUACAACAAGGGAGUCUGCCGAUGAUACGGAGGAUGCACCUGGAAAUUGCCGAUCGGUUUGUGGAGGUGUUCCAGUUUGUCACGGGAGGAUAGUUUUAUGUUUUCCUUAGUUAUUUAGAUCGUUUUAUAUACGGAUUCUGUUUAAUUUGGAAUUCGAGUUCUAGUCGUGUCUGGUUGUAGCUCUUUGAACAGGGUAUAAAUGUAGACCCUAGGGCCUUGUAAUCUAUCUAUCUAUCAAUCAAUCAAAUGCAAGUUUUUACUCAUAUUCCAGCAUCUACUUUUUCGACGACUUCAUCAUAUUUUCCUUUUUACUACGAGUUCUUAGGAAUUCGUUGACUUAAGCUCGGCGUAUUCUCGAGUUCUGCGUGAGUACCUCUUGGCCGUGACAUUCGGGCGCAUCGUUGUUGUCAGGACCAAAGUAUUCGAGUUACCACCUUUGCCGAUAGUAAGGUCAAAUCGGCUAGCACGCCUUAACGUUUGAAUCGGGUAUUAGCCCUUUGUAUUUGCAGAUCCGCUUUUACAUCAACAGGCCUCAUAGGGAAGCCGUCGACAUGCUCAGGCUGGAAGUCGCCAGCAACGGUAGCCCUGACUCGGGCCACGACCUCAUCGUCCGCCGGAGCCUCGUUAGACAUCCGGCAAGCCUCGAGAUCCCAGGACGAAACGUCAGGACCCAUCUCAUCCAUCCUCAACGGCCGAGACAUCAACAGGAGAACCCUCCGAUGAUGGACGACCGAGAGGACGAGAGCGGCUGUUAGGCCUUCCUCGCGCAAUUUCUUCAAGGCGUCGAGGAGGGGGUCGAGCCGCGAUUGGUGGACUUGGACGACGCCGUACGUCCAGUGGGCCGGGCGCUCCGAGAUCAGACGGCCGGUGUAGACAGGAAGGAGAUCGUUGUCAUUCCGUAAGUAGUACCACUGGGAGUCCCAUCCAGCGUGGUUCGAUGUCAAUCCCACCGGGAUGUACUCGCGCGGCCUCUUCAUUUUUCCGGUCUUCAGCACCAGGUUGAGGCACCCGGCCCGUACAGGUUUCCUCACGCCUGUGGUUCCAGUGGGGGCGUUGAAGAGCUCGUCCCGGUACAGAUGGAGCCACAGAUCCCAAUGGGGCAUCAUCCUCAGAUAGCCCUCACACACCGCGGUGUGGUGAUGGCGUUCGGCGAGAAGUGCUGGAGCUCCACCCCGUAGUGGUGGCAGAGCGCCCGCAUGAAACGGCUCGGAGGAGAACCCAAGCCGUGGCAGUGGAACAUGGCGAAGGAGACCACGUAGCCCUUGGGUGGCCUUGGCUCCCGGUGGUCCGCCGCCGGCGCAAUCCACUCCGGCCGCGACGAUAAAGUGCGGGGGCGAAGGAGCCCCUCCCUCUCGAGCUCCAGCAGCCGGCGCUCCGUCAUCGACGACGGGCGCCAGUCAUCGGCGGCGACGAGUCUCACAGGCAUUCUCAGGUGGGAGAAAGGCGACCUCAAUACUGCUCGAGGGUGCGCGCGUGAGAGAUGGCAAGGGAGCUGAUGCAAAGACAAAGGUAGAAGGCGGAAGGAGCGACGGCAACGAGACCACGGGGCAUUUAUAGACGGCAGCCCACCAACAGACAGAUUCGAUAAACACGGUAACUCCUCCCAUAAAUGCGCCGUCUAAUGGUCCUCACCUCGCUCAUAGAUGGGACGCUACGAAUUCCACGCCGGUACAGUGUCGCAACGGCUCCCGCCUAAAAAGGCGCGCCCAACGGGCAAAAAGGUGAACCGCCGUGGUCCUUUUCCUUCCCCUAUAAGCCAAGGUACGUACCCAUGAAAGUCUCGAGAGAUCGUAGGCUGACCCGCCAAAAGGGUUCGACAGCCGAUCUCGAGUACCAGAGUCAGGGAUGCCCGGCGAGUGGUCGAAAAUCGAGGCCCGCCUCGAGAACUCGCUGGGGAUGUCCAAGGUAGGGUUGAGACAGUCGAAAGGAAUCCCAUCGAAGGGAGGCAUCGAGCCAUUGGACUCUAUCGAACGAGACCAGCAUCCCUGACCACGUCGACCCCGCUUUAUGAGAAUGCCUCCGGGCUACAGCUGACCCCCUCGAAAGCGGCACAGGUUCUCACUUGGAUCACCCGCUAGGAGCUCAAUCUGGGGUAGAUGACGCUCGCUCUAUCGAGAGUACGUCGAGACCCCUACGCAAAACGAGCCAAUCAGAACCUUCCACCACAGGAACCUCGACCACAAAAAUAUAGCCUCCACUCGAGCGCAAGCGCUCAAAUGGAGACUCGGGGGCUACUGUCGAGGAUAUCAGUAAGGGGUACCCUAACUGACGUGCAUGACGAGAAUAUCUGUACGCAAGUCGAGGCCUCCGACUCGACGCCCUACCCAGUUAUACGCACGGUCCCCCGCAACCGUAGCCUCGAACACGGAAAGAGCGUCCUGCGAAUCAACCAGGGCUCGAGCACCGGCUACCGUCGAAUACGGAAACAGGAUCGAGCAAAUCGGAAGGCGUCGAGCGCAAGGACGCCGCCCGCCGCCUGACGCGGGCACGAGAACCAGGGCAUUAAAUGCGCCUGUCGCGUUCUCACCUAACCCGCCAGUCACGGGAAGCGUGAUAGGGAACAGGCACCCGUCCUGUCAUUCUUUUUGCAGCCUUCCCCACCAAACAAGCGAGAACGUGGUAGGGCGUUGGGAGUGGGUCGGAACGUCUAAUCAAGGCCCCCUCGAGACGCCCAAGGUCAGUGCACUGGCUAGCAAGGCGUUACACGGCAUCCGACCCUCGAGUAAGCACGUUUCCUUCCUAGGGAAGGGUCAGGUGUCGAAUGACAACAAUACAACCACUCCAACGUAUCUGCCACCAUGACUUACAAGCGUGCAACGGAUAAACCGGUCCAGGAACGGCGCACGGAGCGGGAUACAGGGGCACGCGUAAUCAUCAUCAAGGUACCGAGACAAGAUGGCUUGAGACCACGCCGGUACGGAGGCCUCGAGUAGGUCAGCGUGCCAUACCUCUAUCGACCCCUACUCUGACACCUAUGCAUGUACCCUAGGCCCCUCCUUGGAACUAUAAAAGGGGAGGCCUGGGAGCGGAUACAAGACACGCGAUACAACACAACACACAAGCCAUACGUAGUAGAGUGAACUCACUCCAUCUCCAUCCAUACCACGCUUGUAUUCACCCAUGCACAAGCACUUAGGUGCAGAAUAAUACAAACUCUUCCCCCCCGCUGGACGUAGGGCCUUCUCUUUCCCGAACCAGGAUAAAUCUUUGUGUCUUUUUGCAUCACCAUCUGGGAAAGGGGAGCACGCAUACAAGUUUACUCGUUGGUGUGACCCCCCGGGGGAAAACACCGACAGGUUCUACCCCACAAGGUGGAGUGCACAAGCUAGGAUAAGUGUGCCAGUGCAUUCCUCAAGAAGUUCUUCCUAUCAGGCAAGACUAGUGCCCUGCCGGGGAAGAUCUCAAGCUUCUAACAACAGGCUGAUGAGACGAUUCCUGAAGCCUGGGAACGUCUUCAGGAGUACAUUCGCGCCUGUCCUCAUCAUGGAAUAGAGGAAUGGCUCCUCAUUCAAGGUUUCUACCAUGGGCUGACCGGUGUAUCCCGUAGUCACCUUGAUGCAGCAGAAGAAGGCGCAUUCUUGCAACAGAAAGUCAAGGAUGCUAAGGACCUCAUUGAGAAAAUGGUUAUCAACCAAGGAUGGAAUGAGGAACGCCUCCAGCCCAAGAAAAGAGGUGUCCACGCCCUCAGCGAAGUGGACAUGCUCUGUCCCAAGAUGGACCUCCUCAUGAAGAAAGUUGAGGAAAGUUCCAAAAAGGAACAGGAGGCCAUCCAACCUUACGCCCCCAUACAAGCCAUCAUAGCCGACACCUGGUGCGAGGUGUGCAUAGGAGGCGAUCACUCGGCUGAUGAUUGCCCCGAGACAAAGGAGGAAGUGAGCUUCAUCAACAACAACCACAACAACAACGGGUACCGGCCCCCACAAUAGAAACAACAAGGAUGGAACUCGCACACCUUCUACCAAGGACAUGGUAAUGGUUAUAACAAUAAUUUUAAUAACGGUUUUAGUAACCAACCUUCCUUAAAAGAUCUUGUCUUAGGCCAGACUAAAAUCAACAAUAGUACAAGUAAGAAAAUGAUGGCUAAUGACAAGAUUCUUGAAAGUCUUAGUGAAAAGAUGGAUAACUUUAACUUUGCUAUGAAAAACUAGUUGAGCUUUAAUAAAAUGGUAGAAACACAAUUAGCUCAGUUAGUAGCAGCUGUGUCGUCCUCUAGGCAAGGUAAGAUUCCUAGGAAGUCUGAAGAUCCCAUUGAGGGGGUCAGGAUGGUAAACACGCGGUUCACGAACCUGUGGCCAAAGUCCAUCUAGAUCCACAAGUUGGACUCACCAUUCUUGGUCAAGAGGGACAACCUAGGCCUACCCAUAAUCACUUGCCAGAUCAGACCACGGAUCUUCAACAAUGCCUUCUGCGACCUUGGAUCAGGAGUCAACAUCAUAUCCAAGGUAACUUAUGAUAACCUGUUAGGAGGUCCUUUGGACCCCACAUUUGUACGUCUGUAGAUGGCAGAUCAGAGCUUCCGGUUCCCAGAGGGACUGGCAAGGGACAUCUUGAUCAAGAUCAAGAACACCUAUGUCGUGGUUAACUUCAUCGUGUUGGACAUGGGGUCCAACACCGAUGUCCCCAUCAUCUUGGGACGUCCGUUCUGAGCAUGGUGGAGGCCACCAUUUACAUGGGGGCUGCCCAGAUCCACAUGUAGUUCAACAGCAGAUGGAGGGUAAGAGUUCCCUUUAGUGGUUUAAAGUUUACAUGCAGGAAGAGGAAAAGGCUCCCCAGCCUAAACCUCGCCGCAACGACCGCCGAAUGAAGAACUGCCGGAAGAGCGCAUCGGCUAAAAAGGCCGAAGCCAAAGAAGAAGAACCCGCUUAGAUGCCAAUAGAAGUCAAACAAGAAUGGAGGGCAAAGGAUGUGCAGUCACGGUCCCCAUCUCCGGGAUCGACAGAUGUCUCCAUAGAAUGAACAUGACGGAGAGGUCCUCGCUCUGCGGACCUAAAAUACAGAGUCCUCGCUGAUAAGGUAUGUCAGUAUUUAUAUACAUAUUUAAAUUCUGCAUUGCAUGUUUAAUUUUAAUCUUCCAUAUUUAAAGUUUUUAUCUUGCAUCUUUAUUUUCACAAAAUAAUUUAGUCAUUCAGAAUAAAAUCUUGAGGAUAGUUUGCAAUAAAGAUCUGAGUUGUGGGACCUCCCAUAGGGGGCUCGGCCGAGCCCCUUACUGGGCCCAUAGCCAUCCUUUCCUGUUUGGCUCUACUCUUCUCGAUGCUCUCAUUCUGACACAGCACUUGGUUGCUCCCGAGGAGCUCAAGUGGGGAUCGGCCGAUCCCCAACUUGUCCCCCUCUGCACCCUAUUGCCUCGCUUUUGCCACACACAAACAUAGAGAGCAUCCCAACACAGACAGAAUCUGAAAAGCAGUGGUCCACUUUCACUUUAAGCAUAGAUUCCAUCUUUUGCUUUUGAACCACUAUCUUUCCACUUUCUUCAAAGAGGAGACACACAUGCAAAACUGUCAUAGCUUUAGUCAUGUCCCCUCUUUAGGCAAACAUCUUUUUACCUUUCACCAAACACUAGGCUAGGGAAUCUCUAAAAAGCAACAACAUUUCUUGUCACACAUCCAGCAUCUGCUUUAUCAGACAACUGAUGACACAAAAGCUAAAGCUGAAAAGCCCAAAGUAAGAGCUCGGCCGAUCCCCUCUUUGGAGGCUUUCCAAAAAUUUAUGACAAAGCUUGUCUAAGUAAAGCAAGAUUCCCUGCCUAAAGCAAAAUUCAAAUUCAAACCCCAUAGGGGAGGGAUCGGCCGAUCCCUUUAGAUGGGCCCCACCUGGUGUCCUUCUCCCCUAUAAAUACUAGGGUAAUGUGAGCUCAUUCCUCAACUCAAACAACAAAAAUCAUCUUGAGCUCACAAGUCCCCUUCUUUCCUUCUUUAUUGCAAGUCUCUUCUCAAGCUUAGUUUUGUUCUAGCAUCUCAUAAACAAAAACACCAAAAAUAUUCAGUUUUAGUUGCAUAGUAUUGGUAGUAGGAGUUUGGCUAGACUCACCCCUACAGCCAAGAUGAAGAAGAGGGUCAUGGAGAAGAUCAAUUGGGCCCGAGGUCAUGGUUCCUCUUGUAGCUCACCAUGCUCCGACGAGGGGAGCCACUCAAGGCAAGCAGAUGCGGAGGUUCACCACUCCUUGGUACCUUAUGCACCCCCUGCAAGAGUGAUGGAGCCCGAAUGUGGCCUCAUACUGAGUCCCGAGGAGCUGCAAAAGUAUCACACUCUUUGUAACAUCGCCUAUGCCUCCACCAACAUCAUUGACCCCAAUCUCUUAGAUCGCAUAGCUAUAACCUCCGAGUUCAAAACCAUUUUUUACACAAUUGGCGGGGGUGUUUUUUGGAUGAUUCAUGAGUUGGGCAAUGAAUUGCUUACCCAUGAGUUCUUAUGCACUUUGAAAACUUCUCAAAAUGGGGUAACUUUUUGAAUGUUCAAUUUGGAUUUUGAUUUGACUUGGAGUGCGCUUAACAACGCUCUGGGUUGUGAUCAUGAUUGCUCUUUUGAUUUGAAUUUUGCCGUUAACAAUUUUGAUAAGACUAGAUUUUGGAAGGCAAAUUCUGGUUCGAGCGAUUCUUCUGGUCCCACUGCCCCCGAAAUUCAUAACCCAACUUUGCGCGUUAUCCAUUAUUGGAUGUUUGUCACUCUUUUUCCUGGAACCAAUGGCUUGCAAGAUGUUGAGCUUAAACUGCUUUUUGCAAUGGUUAAGAAGACGAAAGUUUCACCUGCAAAAGUGCUAGUUAGAUAUUGGCAUGGUUAUGCCACACUUGAUAGGCCAAUCUAUUUCACUUCCUUUAUCACCCGUUUAGCCGAAUCUUUUGGUUUGCUCGAUUCCCAUGAGUACGCUUGCAUCUCUCAUCCAAGAGACAUUUUGGGGAAGAGUUUUUCAUUCGAACGGGUGUUCUUAAGAAGGGUCCUCAGGGUGAGUUUAUCAUGGUUUACCUAGGCCAUACAGCUGAGAUCUUGCUCCCUUGUGAGCAACGUCAGCUGUAUAGGCUCCGCACACUAACCAUCAAGCUAGACCCUGGGGUAGAGCCAGAUUUUGUAGGUACACAUAGGGUGACAAGAGGUAUGUCAUGAGCUACCCGGAUGGACGAAGUAGGCCCCUCACGUCCAGCAGGAUAUGAUGUUGAGAGGGGUGAGGAGGUAAGCUAUAUGGACAGAUCAGAGUCCAUGGGCAUACCUUCGUCCCAUCAGCACACCUCUCAGCCUCGAGGGCGACGUCCCCCAAGGACGGACAUUGACGACCUCAUCAACGACAUGGGCACUAUGCACGUGGAGCACCAGGUGACUCUGCAGAUCACCAAGCAUAAUGCACAGAUGGCGCAAGUAUUCCGCAAAGAAGAACUUUGACGCCAAGCUGAUUGGUUCCACCACUUCUAUCCACCAUAGUGAGCCAACAGCCAGCUUGGGGGAGAUCCUCUCUCCCACUCAGAUGAGUAUCUUGCUAUCCACUCUUUUAUUUUUUGUAUCUUAAAUUUAAAAAGACCAAAAAUAUUUAGCUUGCUUAUUAUUUCCCAUAGUUCAUGUUUGUGAAUGGUUAUCUUUCUUCUGGAAAUGAUGAGUAGUUGCUUUGUUAAUGUUUCUCUAGUGCCUAGUUUACAACUUAGUGCUUCUCCAAGUAUGAAUUACUUAGCUUCGCAAGACCAUCAUGAACCUAAAACUUUGUGGGUUGCGAGUGCUAAUAACUGCGUCUAAGUUCUUGAGGGAUACGAGAUAGUAUGAUAGGAGCUGCUAUAAUAUUGUUCUAAGCUUGUUGAGUACCAGAGAUUUAUUUUAUAAAAAUGACCAAAAACUAAUUUGUUCCUCAAUGGUUAUAAAAUUUCUACUAGAGCCAAAUAUACUUUAAAAUGUUGCAAACCUUCUACAUAUGCUAUUUGCUUUGUGUUGAGUGUGGUCAAGGCUUGUGACCGUUGUUUAGAGAUUUAUCAUGCUCCUAGGAUCAAGAAUCAACCAGCCACAAACUCAUUGCUACCUCCAUCUAAAGUACGCAUUUACCCAUACACCGCACCACCAUGCUGCUUCCACUCUGGGAGUACGCAACUCCACUCAUACAUAUCCCUCUGCCACUUCUACUUUGGAAGUGCGCAUUCAUACCAUCUCCACCAUAUGGGUUGCUCCAUGCUUUAAAAGUAAAAAAUUUCAUUCUCUCUAAGGUUAGCAGUUGGUAUAUGUGGCAUAGUUAAAGGCUAGCAUGAAUAAGUAUUAGUUCCAUUCAAGUUAUCAGAGAUACCCUCUCUCUCAAAAAAAGAGGGGAAAGAAAGGAAGCAAUUAGACUCUAGCCUUGCCUCAGUAAAAAAAGAGAAGUCAUCAAUUAGAGGAGCAACCUAUCCACCAUCCAUUCCACAUAUACUAUCCACCGUCCACUCCAUUCCUUACACUUGCACAUCUUGAUCUGGGAGUAUGACACUUCUCUACAGGUAUCCAAGUUUUGACUACGCAACAUAUGCAAAGUAAGUAUGCCAUCUCUUUCAUCCAUACCUUAAGCUCCACCUAAGCCUGAUGAAACUUUGAAGGCAACUUAUUAUAUGCCUUGGUGAGGAAUCAUACACCAUUG